GUAGGUGGCAAGCGUUAUCCGGAAUUAUUGGGCGUAAAGAGGGAGCAGGCGGCAGCAAGGGUCUGUGGUGAAAGCCUGAAGCUUAACUUCAGUAAGCCAUAGAAACCAGGCAGCUAGAGUGCAGGAGAGGAUCGUGGAAUUCCAUGUGUAGCGGUGAAAUGCGUAGAUAUAUGGAGGAACACCAGUGGCGAAGGCGACGAUCUGGCCUGCAACUGACGCUCAGUCCCGAAAGCGUGGGGAGCAAAUAGGAUUAGAUACCCUAGUAGUCCACGCCGUAAACGAUGAGUACUAAGUGUUGGAUGUCAAAGUUCAGUGCUGCAGUUAACGCAAUAAGUACUCCGCCUGAGUAGUACGUUCGCAAGAAUGAAACUCAAAGGAAUUGACGG
rnacentral:rRNA from 1 species